GUGUCAGCAGCCGCGGUAAUACGAAGGGGACUAGCGUUGUUCGGAAUUACUGGGCGUAAAGCGCACGUAGGCGGAUUCGUAAGUCAGGGGUGAAAUCCCGGGGCUCAACCUCGGAACUGCCUUUGAUACUGCGGAUCUCGAGUCCGAUAGAGGUGGGUGGAAUUCCUAGUGUAGAGGUGAAAUUCGUAGAUAUUAGGAAGAACACCGGUGGCGAAGGCGGCCCACUGGAUCGGUACUGACGCUGAGGUGCGAAAGCGUGGGGAGCAAACAGGAUUAGAAACCCCUGUAGUCC
rnacentral:rRNA from 1 species